AGUCAUCAGAUUAGGACGGCCUUCGGAGCCAGCACGCUGUGUGGAUCUGCCAGGAGGCAAGAGGGCUCUGCUUCCCAGCUACCGGCACACUCGUUUUCAGGGGUUUUCCUACAAGGUUGUAGCCAUGAGGUGCCCUGAGCUGGUCCGCGGGCGCCCUAAUCGGGGCCGCCGGUUUCAUCAUCCUUAUCUGGGACUGAGGCCCAGUCGAGGGGCCCCGUCCUCCCUCACAUCCAGCCUCACGAGUGGGAAGACAGGAAGGACCCCGCAGAGGAAGGUGCAGAGCACAGAGUGCACAGAACUCAGCGUUUGUCUUGUUCAGCCUUCUCCGCCGUGGGAAGCAUGAAGCCUGGUCUUCCGUUCCCUCCAUCCACGCUCUAGAGCCAAACGUGCUGAUCCCACUUGAUGUCCUAACACAAAUGGCCUGGAGUUUUUCACACUUUUAAGAGGUUGAAAAGUCAGAAGAAUAUUUCUUGAUACAUAAAACUUGUAAAAAAAUUCAAAUUUCAGCGUCCAGAAACAAAGCUUUAUUGGAACACAGCUUCAGCCCUUUGGCAUGGAUGGUGUUUGUGGGGUCACUGACCAAUGGCAGCUGUGGAUUGCAGACAGCAGGUGGACCCCAAGGCCCCACACAGCCCAAGUGCUUGCUCGCUGCCACGACAGAAGUCUGCAGACCCCUGACCGACCGAAACACCUCCACUCGGCUGUCCUCCGAGUCUUCUGUCUUGUUACUGCUAUGACCGACUUCUGCUAAAUCAUUUGAGUUUUUCUUUUCUUCUUUCAUUUUAAAAGUAAUUCAUGUUUGGGGCGCCUGUGUGGCUGAGUCGGUUCAGUGUCUGACUCUUGAUUUCCGCUCAGGUCAUGAUCUCAGGGUCAUGAGAUCGAGCCCCGCAUCAGACUCCACGCUCAGCACGGAGUCUGCUUGAGAUUCUCUCUCUCCCUCUGCCCCUCCCUCCUCUCUCUCUCUCCCAAAUAAAUAAAUAAAUAGUUCUAAAAAAUAAAAAAAAACUUAAAAUAAAAUAAAAUUCAGCAGCUGUUUAAAAAACAAUAAUAAUAAUUCCCUGUGUUUAACAGGAUUCCUCAAAUAAACCCCAAAUGUUUAACUAGCCCGGCCUCACAUUCUUGGGAAGGGCGGGAAUAGUACUAGUUGUAUUUAUUUUCUUUUUUUUCCUAAUAAAAAAUAAAACU